GACGAACGCUGGCGGCGUGCUUAACACAUGCAAGUCGAACGGAAAGGCCCUGCUUUUGUGGGGUGCUCGAGUGGCGAACGGGUGAGUAACACGUGAGUAACCCGCCCUUGACUUUGGGAUAACUUCAGGAAACUGGGGCUAAUACCGGAUAGGAGCUCCUGCUGCAUGGUGGGGGUUGGAAAGUUUCGGCGGUUGGGGAUGGACUCGCGGCUUAUCAGCUUGUUGGUGGGGUAGUGGCUUACCAAGGCUUUGACGGGUAGCCGGCCUGAGAGGGUGACCGGCCACAUUGGGACUGAGAUACGGCCCAGACUCCUACGGGAGGCAGCAGUGGGGAAUAUUGCACAAUGGGCGGAAGCCUGAUGCAGCAACGCCGCGUGCGGGAUGACGGCCUUCGGGUUGUAAACCGCUUUCGCCUGUGACGAAGCGUGAGUGACGGUAAUGGGUAAAGAAGCACCGGCUAACUACGUGCCAGCAGCCGCGGUGAUACGUAGGGUGCGAGCGUUGUCCGGAUUUAUUGGGCGUAAAGGGCUCGUAGGUGGUUGAUCGCGUCGGAAGUGUAAUCUUGGGGCUUAACCCUGAGCGUGCUUUCGAUACGGGUUGACUUGAGGAAGGUAGGGGAGAAUGGAAUUCCUGGUGGAGCGGUGGAAUGCGCAGAUAUCAGGAGGAACACCAGUGGCGAAGGCGGUUCUCUGGGCCUUUCCUGACGCUGAGGAGCGAAAGCGUGGGGAGCGAACAGGCUUAGAUACCCUGGUAGUCCACGCUGUAAACGGUGGGUACUAGGUGUGGGGUCCAUUCCACGGGUUCCGUGCCGUAGCUAACGCUUUAAGUACCCCGCCUGGGGAGUACGGCCGCAAGGCUAAAACUCAAAGGAAUUGACGGGGCCCCGCACAAGCGGCGGAGCAUGCGGAUUAAUUCGAUGCAACGCGUAGAACCUUACCUGGGUUUGACAUGGAUCGGGAGUGCUCAGAGAUGGGUGUGCCUCUUUUGGGGUCGGUUCACAGGUGGUGCAUGGCUGUCGUCAGCUCGUGUCGUGAGAUGUUGGGUUAAGUCCCGCAACGAGCGCAACCCUUGUUCACUGUUGCCAGCACGUUAUGGUGGGGACUCAGUGGAGACCGCCGGGGUCAACUCGGAGGAAGGUGGGGAUGACGUCAAGUCAUCAUGCCCCUUAUGUCCAGGGCUUCACGCAUGCUACAAUGGCUGGUACAGAGAGUGGCGAGCCUGUGAGGGUGAGCGAAUCUCGGAAAGCCGGUCUCAGUUCGGAUUGGGGUCUGCAACUCGACCUCAUGAAGUCGGAGUCGCUAGUAAUCGCAGAUCAGCAACGCUGCGGUGAAUACAUUCCCGGG
rnacentral:rRNA from 1 species